rnacentral:misc_RNA from 1 species
GAUGAAGAACGCAGCGAAAUGCGAUAAGUAAUGUGAAUUGCAGAAUUCAGUGAAUCAUCGAAUCUUUGAACGCACCUUGCGCCCUUUGGCUAUUCCAAAGGGCAUGCCUGUUUGAGUAUCAUGAACACCUCAACUCUCAUGGUCUGCCAUGAUGAGCUUGGACUUUGGAGGUCUGCUGGCCUGUGGUCAGCUCCUCUCAAAUGAAUCAGCUUUCCGGUGUUUGGUGGCAUCAUGGGUGUGAUAAAUAUCUACGCUUGUGGUUUUCCACCAGGUAACCUUCAGUGAUGGGGGUUCGCUGGGGCUCAUAAAUGUCUCUCCUCAGCGAAGACAGCUUUGUGAAUGUUUGAUCUCAAAUCGGGUAGGACUACCCGCUGAACUUAAGCAUAUCAAUAAGCGGAGGA